rfam:Punica granatum cultivar Dabenzi scaffold289, whole genome shotgun sequence.
UGCCGAUGAUGAAUGGUAGUGGUAUUUAUGACAUAUUAUUUGUGAUUACAACAAUUCACCUACUGCCUUCCUUCUGAGGCU